UACGUAGGGUGCAAGCGUUAAUCGGAAUUACUGGGCGUAAAACGUGCGCAGGCGGCUUUGCAAGACAGAUGUGAAAUCCCCGGGCUUAACCUGGGAACUGCAUUUGUGACUGCAUGGCUGGAGUGCGGCAGAGGGGGAUGGAAUUCCGCGUGUAGCAGUGAAAUGCGUAGAUAUGCGGAGGAACACCGAUGGCGAAGGCAAUCCCCUGGGCCUGCACUGACGCUCAUGCACGAAAGCGUGGGGAGCAAACAGG
rnacentral:rRNA from 1 species